AAGUCGUAACAAGGUUUCCGUAGGUGAACCUGCGGAAGGAUCAUUAUCAAUGAUAUCCAUCAUACACCGUGAACUUUUAAUUUUUUUGGGAAUGAUUUUUUAUUAGAUCUCCUCCCAGGAAAAAAAAAUUUAAACACUAUAAUUUUUAAAACAGAGUCAAUUAUGAAAAUAAUUUUAGACAACUUUUAGCAACGGAUCUCUAGGUUCUC
rnacentral:misc_RNA from 1 species